rnacentral:rRNA from 1 species
UACAGAGGGUGCAAGCGUUGUUCGGAAUUAUUGGGCGUAAAGAGCUCGUAGGCGGCUCAGUAAGUCAGGUGUGAAAACUCCAGGCUCAACCUGGAGACGCCACUUGAUACUGCUGUGGCUAGAGUCCGGUAGGGGAGCAUGGAAUUCCUGGUGUAGCGGUGAAAUGCGCAGAUAUCAGGAGGAACACCAGUGGCGAAGGCGGUGCUCUGGGCCGGAACUGACGCUGAGGAGCGAAAGCGUGGGGAGCAAACAGG